rnacentral:rRNA from 1 species
GCCAGACUCCUACGGGAGGCAGCAGUGGGGGAUAUUGGACAAUGGGGGAAACCCUGAUCCAGCGACGCCGCGUGAGUGAAGAAGUAUUUCGGUAUGUAAAGCUCUGUCAGCAGGGAAGAAAGAAAUGACGGUACCUGACCAAGAAGCCCCGGCUAACUACGUGCCAGCAGCCGCGGUAAUACGUAGGGGGCAAGCGUUAUCCGGAUUUACUGGGUGUAAAGGGAGCGUAGACGGCAGUGCAAGUCUGGAGUGGAAGGCGGGGGCUCAACCCCCGGACUGCUCUGGAAACUGUACGGCUGGAGUGCAGGAGAGGUAAGUGGAAUUCCUAGUGUAGCGGUGAAAUGCGUAGAUAUUAGGAGGAACACCAGUGGCGAAGGCGGCUUACUGGACUGUAACUGACGUUGAGGCUCGAAAGCGUGGGGAGCAAACAGGAUUAGAUACCCGAGUA